UCUUCUUUCUUCUCCUUCUCUGCUUCUGUGGCCCUUCAUCCUGUUGCACCUCCUUUUGACAUUCCCCAUUUUUAUGCCCAAACGAGUUACAUUAGAGACAAAGUGUUGGUUUCCAUUCAAAUUCAAUAUUCUGCAACCAGCUUCUUCCAUCUGGUAUCUCAAUAUAAAAUUCAUCAGGUAAAGGCUGGGUUAUGUCCAUUUCCACAAG
rnacentral:lncRNA from 1 species